rnacentral:rRNA from 1 species
UACGUAGGCAGCAAGCGUUGUUCGGAGUUACUGGGCGUAAAGGGUGUGUCGGCGGUUGCUUAAGUUUGUUGUGAAAUCUCCCGGCUUAACUGGGAGGGUGCAGCGGAAACUAGAAUGCUAGAGGGUGGGAGAGGUAAGCGGAAUUCCUGGUGUAGCGGUGAAAUGCGUAGAUAUCAGGAGGAACACCUGUGGUGAAGACAGCUUACUGGACCACGCCUGACGCUGAGACACGAAAGCGGGGGUAGCAAACAGG